rnacentral:lncRNA from 1 species
UUCGCAUGGGAUACCAACAUGGCAGAGAUCUGACAUCAUCAGAAAGCGGGGAGGAGAUAACUUCUUCAUCGAUACCAGCGGUGUCAGGUGUGUAAUCCCCUAGCCCCCCUCUCCACACAGCGGGGAAACCUCAAGGGCCCCUCCCAGCUCUCCUGUGAGCGCGAUAGUCAGACCGAGGGAUUCAGGAGUGGCGCGGACCGGGGCGCGGGACCCCCGGGCUACCACUCCCACCAGCACAGACAACUGAGGUCUCUUGCACCAGCUCCUGGGGGCGUGGCUACCGGAGGGCUAGCAAAAUACGCCAAGGGCUCUCAGCUGCAAUCUCUAGAACCUUAAGGGCUGAGGGAUUGGCAAGCAGGGAUAGGGUACUGAGUUGUUCAAGAAGAUAGGGCUCCCGUGAGCAGCAGACCUGGCGUGUAGCCAGUACUGUGGUGAGCAUCACCUGUGAAUGGGGCCAGUGGCAAGGUGACUAGACACAAGAAAUGGCCAGAGACACUCAGAAGUGGAGACCCGCCCAGUUGGGGAGGAGGAGCUGCUGCACAGUGAUUGGUUCCCGCUCACUGAGAGGAGAAGCUUGGCCCAGUGGGCACAGCUCCACCUACUGGAAGAGAAGUUAAUCGAACUCUAAGACUGUAUUUUUUAAAUUUUUU